rnacentral:lncRNA from 1 species
CUGCAGUGUGACAAAUUACCCCAAGCAUGUAUUAUCAUCACACAGUUUCUGUGGGUCAGGAAGCCAGGCACAGCUUAGCUGUGUCCUCCCAAGGUUUCGAGUUCUCUCACAAGGAUGCUGUCAAGGUAUCAGCCAGGGCUGCAGUCAUCGUCAACCUGACUCUGGGGAAUCUGCUUCAGAGCUCACUCACAUGGCUGUUGACAGAUCUUAGGUCCUCGCUGGCUGCUGGCCAGAGACAUCAGUUCCUUGCCAAGAGGCCCUCUCCAGAGGAAAUCUUGCAACAUGGCACCUGGAAGAAGCCUGUGUGCAGGGGAGGGGUUGUUGAAUUCCUUAAGGUGUCUGGAAAAAGAGAGAGAGAGAGCCAAAGAGGAAGAGGGGAGGGAGCA